ACCAUGCAGUCGAGCGGUAAGGCCUUUCGGGGUACACGAGCGGCGAACGGGUGAGUAACACGUGGGUGAUCUGCCCUGCACUUCGGGAUAAGCCUGGGAAACUGGGUCUAAUACCGGAUAUGACCUCCUAUCGCAUGGUGGGUGGUGGAAAGAUUUAUCGGUGCAGGAUGGGCCCGCGGCCUAUCAGCUUGUUGGUGGGGUAAUGGCCUACCAAGGCGACGACGGGUAGCCGACCUGAGAGGGUGACCGGCCACACUGGGACUGAGACACGGCCCAGACUCCUACGGGAGGCAGCAGUGGGGAAUAUUGCACAAUGGGCGAAAGCCUGAUGCAGCGACGCCGCGUGAGGGAUGACGGCCUUCGGGUUGUAAACCUCUUUCAGCAGGGACGAAGCGCAAGUGACGGUACCUGCAGAAGAAGCACCGGCUAACUACGUGCCAGCAGCCGCGGUAAUACGUAGGGUGCAAGCGUUGUCCGGAAUUACUGGGCGUAAAGAGUUCGUAGGCGGUUUGUCGCGUCGUUUGUGAAAACCAGCAGCUCAACUGCUGGCUUGCAGGCGAUACGGGCAGACUUGAGUACUGCAGGGGAGACUGGAAUUCCUGGUGUAGCGGUGAAAUGCGCAGAUAUCAGGAGGAACACCGGUGGCGAAGGCGGGUCUCUGGGCAGUAACUGACGCUGAGGAACGAAGCGUGGGUAGCGAACAGGAUUAGAUACCCUGGUAGUCCACGCCGUAAACGGUGGGCGCUAGGUGUGGGUUCCUUCCACGGAAUCCGUGCCGUAGCUAACGCAUUAAGCGCCCC
rnacentral:rRNA from 1 species